CAAUAGCGUAUAUUAAAGUUGUUGCAGUUAAAAAGCUCGUAGUUGGAUUUCUGGUCGGAAGCUCCUGUCCUCUGAUGAGCGUACAAGUGCGUCCUACCAUCCUUCUGUUAACCUUUAAGGCUUUCGCGGCUUUCUAGGGGCUCAGAUAUUUUACCUUGAGAAAAUUAGAGUGUUUCAGGCAGGCUAGCGCCGGAAUACAUUAGCAUGGAAUAAUGGAAUAGGACUUCUGCCUCUUCUGUUGGUCAUGAGGCUCGAGUAAUGAUUAAUAGGGAUAGUUGGGGGCAUUAGUACUUAACUGUCAGAGGUGAAAUUCUCGGAUUUGUUAAAGACUAACUUAUGCGAAAGCAUUUGCCAAGGAUGUUUUCAUUAA
rnacentral:rRNA from 1 species